UACGAGGGGGGCGAGCGUUGUUCGGAAUUAUUUGGGCGUAAAGGGUGCGUAGGCGGCCUGACAAGUCUGAUGUGAAAUCCCUGGGCUCAACCCAGGGCCUGCAUCGGAAACUGUCGGGCUUGAGUAUGGGAGAGGUGAGUGGAAUUUCCGGUGUAGCGGUGAAAUGCGUAGAUAUCGGAAGGAACACCUGUGGCGAAAGCGGCUCACUGGACCAUUCUGACGCUGAGGCACGAAAGCUAGGGGAGCAAACAGG
rnacentral:rRNA from 1 species